UAUGAAAAAUACCUUGUUCUGGGC
rnacentral:piRNA from 1 species